GGCGGCGGCGGCGGCGGAGCCAGCAGGCCGCCCGCGGCUUCCUGACGGCCGGCUUAGAAAAUCUCAGCCUACAGUACAAGUGUUUGCAUACGAAGAACAUAUACUGCAAAGUAACACAAGGAGGAAGAUCUUCAAUGGGCACCUGUUCUAAAGUUCCGUGGGAAUGUGGGCAUUCUCCUCUUGAGAAGGUAUAAUGAAGGUUUGGCUCGUCCCUCCCGUCUCACAACAUCAUUUGAUUUCUACAUGGGAGGAAGAAAAUGUAUGGGUGUUUCAUUACCUGAGAUUCAAAGGUUAACUCUCUGCAGGGAAAAAUUAUGAAGAAUCUGAAUGUUUAAAUGAAGACAAAACAGGUUAUUAUCUUCUCAACAGAAGUACAGAAUCAAAGAAUUUUCAACAAUGAAAGCCUGAUCUAAACUGAAUACUCAGUUUACUCACAAU